AAUUACAUUUUGCCCAAAAACUAGCAAUCUGCGACAUACGAAUUGUUUUACCGAUCGAAGCCUUGACUUGUAGGGUAAUAAAAAGGCAAAUCUUUUUAUAGCCAUGUUUCAUAAAUAUAUCAGUUAUAUAGCCCUACUUUUCAAUAUACAAGUUACAUAACUCUUUUUUGCUGAAAGUACUAUUAUACCCUUAUUUAUUUUCUUCCACAAAAUAGAAAUUCAAACAAACUCUUCC
rnacentral:lncRNA from 1 species